GGUGAGCACGGUGUUACUCAAGAGCUCGUCGAUCAACUUCUUCCAAUUCUAAAGGAGCAUAAAGUGGACUUGUACAUAAACGGACAUGAUCACUGCUUGCAACACAUUGGCACUAAAGGUGAAACCCAAUUCCUGACAAGUGGAGGAG